UCUCGGGUCGUCCAGAGGUUUAGGAUACAGGCUUGUCACGCCUGCGACCGGGGUUCGAAUCCCCGUCCGAGAG